rnacentral:rRNA from 1 species
GAUGAACGCUGGCGGCGUGCCUAAUACAUGCAAGUCGAGCGAACGGACGAGAAGCUUGCUUCUCUGAUGUUAGCGGCGGACGGGUGAGUAACACGUGGAUAACCUACCUAUAAGACUGGGAUAACUUCGGGAAACCGGAGCUAAUACCGGAUAAUAUUUUGAACCGCAUGGGUCAAAAGUGAAAGACGGUCUUGCUGUCACUUAUAGAUGGAUCCGCGCUGCAUUAGAUAGUUGGUAAGGUAACGGCUUACCAAGGCAACGAUGCAUAGCCGACGUGAGAGGGUGAUCGGCCGCAUUGGAACGUAGACAGGGUCCAGACUCCUACGGGACGCAGCAGUCGGGAAUCUUCCGCAAUAGGCGAAAGCCUUACGGAGCAGCGCCACGUGAGUGAUGAAGGUCUUCGGAUCGUAAAACUCUGUUAUUAGGGAAGAACAUAUGUGUAAGUAACUGUGCACAUCUUGACGGUAACUAAUAAGAAAGCCACGGCUAACUACGUG